AAUCCCGUCAUUUCGCCCCCCCCGAGCAGGAACAUCAUUUUUAUCGUCGCGCCACGACCCUCCCGACGACCCUUUCGUAUUCCCCACGCUGUCUUUCUCUCCGGAAAAGUCACCGAAUUCGAGAGAGCGAGAGAGAGAGAAAGUUUCGAUUUUUAGUGGAGGAGGAGGAGGAGGAGGAGGAGGAGGAGAGAUCUGGUCUCAGGGGUCCGCCGUCGUCGAUGGCGGGCGGGUGGGUCAAGUCGCUGCACUGCAAGUCCAGAGCGUUCGACGACGUCCAUCACGGCCAGUACCAGAAACGCUUGCUCCCUUCCUCCUCUUCGUCCUCUGCCUCUUCUUCUUCUUCUUCUUCUUCUUCGUUGUACUCUUCCAGCUGCAGAAAGAGCGCCCAGACCAUCAAGGACGUCAUCGACAUCGCCAAGCAACAGCGACCCAAGAAGCCCCGGCCCAGGCUCAAGCCCGCCCCCCGCCCCCGCCCCCGCGCCGAAGCUCCCGCAGAAAGCGAAGGCGGAAGCGUGCCCCAACGCGACCCGACGCUGCCCGCCGUGUACCCGGCGCUGACCGAGCUGCCGGAGGGCCACCCGUCGCGGAACGUGGUGGAGAUCAUCUUCCACACGAGCUGGGGGCCGAAGCCGUUCGCGGGCGGGAUCGACGUGAUCCUCAAGGUGCAGAACGGGCAGCGGACGGCGGCCCGGUUCGAGGAGUACCGGGAGCUGGUGAAGUCGCGGGCCGGGUCGGGCGACCCCAGGGGACGAGGACGCGCGGUGCGCCGCCGACGGGAACGAGAUGAUGCGGUUCCGCUGCAUGGGCCCCACGGCGCGCGAGGGGGCGCGUGGGACUGCAGCGCGGGGUGGGCGGUCGGGUGGGGCGGCGGCUGCGUCGGCGGCGCCGGCAAGGGGGCGGCGAUCUGCACGUUCGACGGCAGCGGGCGCGCCCACGAGAGCGCGGGGGAGGGAGGGGGAGGCGGGCCAUGCUGGUGUGCCGGGUCAUAGCCGGCCGGGCAUCCAAGAAACUCGGCCUCGAACCCUUCCCGGACGGCGGCGUCACGUACGACUCGGUGAGCGGGGACGACGGCGAGUUGCUAGUGUUCGAUCCUCGGGCCGUGUUGCCCUGUUUCCUCAUCAUCUAUAGGUUGUAAAAAGAUCCAUCAUGUCCGACAUAAUUCUUCGCAAUGUCAAAUUGAUUUUCCACCGCAUUCUACGUUUCUCCCAUGAUUAUCGUCGAGGGAACUUCUUUUUUUGGUUCUGUUCCUAUUUCCUUCCUUUUCCAAGGAUUAGAUCUUAUGGGAUUAAGAUUAAGCGUGUAAGUGAAAGUGCAGAUCUUGAAUACGAGUGCAAACUUCCCAGGCCUUGUUCA